AAAUUUUACGACAUGCUGUUGUCUGGAAAGUACCACGUGCAGUCUUGGGACAUGUUUUCCAAAAACGUUGUUCAAAUGACGUACAGGAAGGAAAGCGGUUUUGUGGAUCAGAAUCCAAACACUAAUGUCAUCCUGGCGGCAUUUACAACUUGUUGGGCAAGAAUGCAUUUAUAUAAAUUUAUGGACAUGGGCUAAGGAUCGCUUGUUGUACUUUGACACAGACUCGAUUUUCUUUGUGACAAAACCGGGACUUGUGGAUCCACCAACUGGGUGUUUCUUAGGCGACCCAACAGAUGAGCUAAAGCCUGGUCAACAUAUUGUGCAGUUUGUUAGCCUUGGUGCCAAAACCUACGCGUACGUCACCAACGACGGCGAGACAGUGGCGAAAGUCAAAGGAUUCACUUUGAAUGGGCGAACG